rnacentral:rRNA from 1 species
GACGAACGCUGGCGGCGUGCCUAAUACAUGCAAGUAGAACGCUGAAGGAGGAGCUUGCUUCUCUGGAUGAGUUGCGAACGGGUGAGUAACGCGUAGGUAACCUGCCUGGUAGCGGGGGAUAACUAUUGGAAACGAUAGCUAAUACCGCAUAAUAUUGACUAUUGCAUGAUAGUCAGUUGAAAGGUGCAACUGCACCACUACCAGAUGGACCUGCGUUGUAUUAGCUAGUUGGUGGGGUAACGGCUCACCAAGGCGACGAUACAUAGCCGACCUGAGAGGGUGAUCGGCCACACUGGGACUGAGACACGGCCCAGACUCCUACGGGAGGCAGCAGUAGGGAAUCUUCGGCAAUGGACGGAAGUCUGACCGAGCAACGCCGCGCGAGUGAAGAAGGUUUUCGGAUCGUAAAGCUCUGUUGUAAGAGAAGAACGAGUGUGAGAGUGGAAAGCUCACACUGUGACGGUAUCUUACCAGAAAGGGACGGCUAACUACGUG